AUAAUACUGUAUGUGUGUGUGUGUGUGUGUGUGUGUGUGUGUAUAUAUAUAUAUAUACAUAUACAUAUACAUAUAUUCAAAAUA
rnacentral:miRNA from 1 species